rnacentral:rRNA from 1 species
GACGAACGCUGGCGGCGUGCUUAACACAUGCAAGUCGAACGGGAAGUCCCUGUUUUUGUGGGAGGCUCGAGUGUCGAGCGGAAGAGUCACACGUUAGUAACCUACCCUUAACUUUGAGAGAACGUCAAUAAACUGGGGCUAAUGGCGGAUAGGGGCGCCUCCUCCAUGGGGGGGGUUUGAGAGUGUCGGCGGAUUGGGAUGGGCGCUCGGCUUAUGAGCCUGUUGGUGGGGUAGUGGCUUACCAAGGAUUUGACGGGUAGCCGGCCUGAGCGGGUGACCGGCCACAUUGGGACUGAGAUACGGCCGAGCCUACUACGGGAGGCAGCAGUGGGGAACAAUGCACAGUGGGCGGAAGAAUGAUGCAGCAACGCCGCGUGCGGGAUGAAGGACGUCGGGUUGUCGACCGCUUUCGCCUGUGACGAAGCGUGAGUGACGGUAAUGGGUAAAGAAGCACCGGCUAACUACGUG